CUUAUUUUAUUUUUCAUUAUUUAUUUUUUGUGUUUAUUGUUAUUUUAAUUUAUUUUUUAUUGUUAUUAUUGCUAUUUCUUUUCAUUUUAUCUUUAUUGAUUUUCAGGAUCUUUUGAGGUGUACGUCAACGACAGUUUAAUGUAUUCAAAACUUCGGAACGGCGGUUACCCAUACGAAGAUGACGUAUUGCUUGCAAUCGAGAAAGUCAAGCGAGGACACGAAGUCAAACUUGUUAGGAGCGGAAGGUCCAUUCUCUGUUCGAUUCUUUAGAGAUAAUGACGUCACAGAUACCCUGCACGAGACAUAAUCAUUCCGGAGAAAAAAAAUCAAUAGUUUAUAAAAAAAAAAACUAAGUGUUACAUGAGAUGUACAUAUAUUGACAACAUUUGUGUUAGCAUAGCCUACAAUGACGUUUCACAUCGAAAAUUAAAGUGAUGUGGGACUGAAAAAUGCACGUGCAAACACAGACACUUGGGGUGUAGAGCUCAAGUCACCUUUUAAAUCAAAAUAAAAUGCAUAUUUGUCAAUCCCAGCACAUGUACUUAUCAUAUACAUUAAAAAACUUAAUAUAAGC